GGGGAUUUUGGUGAUAAGGUGGAGCAGGUGCACUGAGUUGUGUGGUUUGGUGAUUGCAGAAGGGCUGCAGGUGGGUGGUUGCUGGCUUAGGGCUGCCUCCGUGGGGGCACUGCCUUGCUGUGGUGCUGGGACACAGGAGUGGAACUUGGCCUUGGCCUUAUGGGCUGGAAGAUUUGAAGCGUGCUGGCUGUGUGCCAGCAGGGAUGAAAGCAGGGCCUCAUGUUGGAGGGGUCACCUGGAGGAGGGGGCUCUGGACCCCUGGCUCACAUCUGCACUGGGACUGGCUCUGCCUUGUACUGGACCACGUCCACCUGCCUGCGAGAUCUGCGGAAUUUUUUCUUACUUCUUACCUCUAAAUGGAACCACAUCCUUUAGCAGCAAUUCUCAUGAUAAAAGCUUUCGUGCUGGAUAUUUUUAGAUGGAACUGAGCAAGAUACGCUGAGAAAGGCAGGACAAGUAUCUACUGCAUUUCUGAUUGCACGUGUUCCAGAGGAGGGCUAUACACAUUGCUGACUUUGCCAAGAACAAGCAUACCUUUUCAGAGAAGCUUGGCAGAGAAUGCAUGCAUUGAGAAGGGAACAAGCAGACCCAACGUGUUUUGCUGUCCUUUUGCAUGUCACCAAUGAAUUCACACCAUUCUGCAUGAGUUUUAAUAGGAAUGCUCUGGUACGGUGAACAAAGGAAUAAAGCAGGGAUGUAAUAUGAGGGCUCGUACA
rnacentral:lncRNA from 1 species